AUUGAACGCUGGCGGCAUGCCUUACACAUGCAAGUCGAACGGUAACAGGUCUUUCGGGAUGCUGACGAGUGGCGAACGGGUGAGUAAUACAUCGGAACGUGCCUAGUAGUGGGGGAUAACUACUCGAAAGAGUGGCUAAUACCGCAUGAGAUCUAUGGAUGAAAGCAGGGGACCUUUGGGCCUUGUGCUACUAGAGCGGCCGAUGGCAGAUUAGGUAGUUGGUGGGAUAAAAGCUUACCAAGCCUACGAUCUGUAGCUGGUCUGAGAGGACGAUCAGCCACACUGGGACUGAGACACGGCCCAGACUCCUACGGGAGGCAGCAGUGGGGAAUUUUGGACAAUGGGCGCAAGCCUGAUCCAGCAAUGCCGCGUGCAGGAUGAAGGCCUUCGGGUUGUAAACUGCUUUUGUACGGAACGAAAAGUCUUGGGUUAAUACCCUGGGAUCAGGACGGUACCGUAAGAAUAAGCACCGGCGAACUACGU
rnacentral:rRNA from 1 species